rnacentral:rRNA from 1 species
UACAGAGGUCUCAAGCGUUGUUCGGAUUCAUUGGGCGUAAAGGUUGCGUAGGCGGCGCGGUAAGUCGGGUGUGAAAUCUCGGGGCUUAACUCCGAAACGGCAUUCGAUACUGCCGUGCUUGAGGACUGGAGAGGAGACUGGAAUUUACGGUGUAGCGGUGAAAUGCGUAGAUAUCGUAAGGAAGACCAGUGGCGAAGGCGGGUCUCUGGACAGUUCCUGACGCUGAGGCACGAAGGCCAGGGGAGCAAACGGG